rnacentral:miRNA from 1 species
CAAAAAGUUCAUUUGGGUUUUUCUGUAACAUCUUAUGGAAAAACCCGAAUGAACUUUUUGGCCAACC